rnacentral:snoRNA from 1 species
UCCUCCUACAAAGGCGUGUCUGUACCCUCAUGUGUUGACACGUAAGAACCGGAGGCAGAUCAACAGGAAAAAG